AAGCGUGAGCCACCGCGCCCGGCCAGUCAACUGUAUUUUUAAAAACAAUCAGAAGAACAGAUGGCCAUCUUCUGUCAGUACUUGAAGACUGUUUCUAAGAAACAUUAAGCCUCCAUCAGGCUCACUUGUUAAUGCAAAAGUCCCACUCAGGACAGAAGCUGGGACAAUCUUUGAAGUUGUCAGACAGGGGAUCUGCUGUAUUCCUGAGGCUGGAGUGCAGUGGUACAAUCUCAACUCACUGCAGCUUUUGUCUCCCAGGCUCAAGUGAUCUUUCCAUCUCAGCCUCCCUAGUAGCUGGGAUUACAG
rnacentral:lncRNA from 1 species